GCUUGAGAAAGACAUGUUGAAGAGGAAAAAUACGUUAAGCACAGAGAUUUCUUAAUUGCUUGAAGUACAGGCCCAGGCAUAGAAUUGGAUUUGGUUACCACUUGCCAACUGUCUUAGAAUCUGAAGACUCCAGCUCUAGUUCCCGACUCUGACACCUACUAGCUCUGCAACUUUACGGAAACCACUUACCUCUCUGAGCCUCAGUUUCCUCCUCUGUGAAAUGGGCUGGAUUUUCCCCAUGUGCAGGUGCUUCAUCAUCACAUGAUCUCAUUUAAUCUUCACAACAUCCCUGAGGUAUGUUGUCUUCAAUCCCCCUUUGGCAAAAGAGGAAAUGGAAGCUCUGGUUAAAACUUGGUGAAGAUAACACAGCUUAGCAGGAAACCCUGAGCUGUCUGACUCUCAAGCCUGUGUUGGGAAAUCCUGCCCUGUGCUGCCUCUUGUUGCAGAGAUCCUAUCUGGAUAAAGUGCUGGGUAACCAGGAAUCAGAACCUCUGGAGGACGAGUAUGACUUCUUUUCUGUCCCUGCUGCUCGAGUUCAAACCCUCACCAUCCUCUCCUCCUCUUCCCUGUUCUUGCUCUGUACCUCCACUCCGUCACUGAGUCUUGACACUUUGGCCCAGUGUCCCCCCUUGCACCCCUGCCUUUUCAUUCUUACCCUUGUUGCCACACACCUGGGGCACUGCCGUAGCUGGCAGCUCCCUUUCUCACCAGUCUUUCCCUUUUCCAUCUUUUCCACUAACCCUGCCAGACUCAUCUUCCUUUAACACUGCUUUGUCCUAUUUCAUUAAAAAUAUCCCAGGGACUCAUGAGAUAAAGUCAAGACUCAGUGCUUGACCUGACACAGCCCCCAGUCCCCCCAGGUAGACCUCAAAGCUUCUACAUUCGUUCUUUUUCACGCUGCUGAUAAAGACAGACUUGAGACUGGGCAAUUUACGAAAGAAAGAGGUUUGUUGGACUUAUGGUUCCAUAUGGCUGGGGAGACCUCACAAUCACAGUGGAAGGCAAGGAGGAGCAAGUCAUGUCUUACAUGGAUGGCAGCAGGCAAAACAGUUUGUGCAGAGAAACUCCCAUUUUUAAAACCAUCAGAUCUUGUGAGACCCAUUCACUAUCAUGAGAACAGCAUGGGAAAGACCCAUCCCCAUGAUUCAAUCACCUCCCACCAGUUCCUCCCAUGACAUAUGGGAAUUAUAGGAAUUGUGGGAGUUACAAUUCAAGAUGAGAUUUGGGUGGGGACACAGUCAAAACAUAUCAACUCCUUUCCAGCCUUGCCCAUCACUUCCUGCAAUAACUUGAUGUUGCCUGGGAUUUUCUGACUUCAGCAUCUUUGCUCAUGAGGUAUCUUCUACCUAGAAUGUGACCUUCCCACCCAACCUCCCCUCUGCUAAAAAUCUCAUCAUGGUCUGCCUGAAGUGGCCUGUCUUUAAUGAAGCUUUCUCCAGUCACCUUGCAGGAAUGAUCCCCCCACCUUGAACACUUUGAAACACUUAAACAGUACUUCUCAUAUGUUGCUUCACUGUAAUUAUUUGAGUGCCAACAUUUCCUCCCUAUAUACCAAUGUGAUGAUGGAACCCAUGUGUGUGUAUCCCCCACUGUGGUCAUUAGCAUAGUGCCUUAUAUGUAGUGGUCCCUUUGUUGCAUGUAAACUAAUGAACAGUGAAAAGCAAAUAAUAAGAAAUAAAUCAUUUAUUGUUUCCCAUGUGUCAGACAGUAUUCUUAGUGCUAUUCAAAGUAAUAAUUUAAUUCUCGCAAUAACCCUAAGAGGUAGAUGAUAUUGUGUCUCCAUUAUAGAGAUGAAGAAGCGAAGGCAUGGUGAGCUGAGCUGGUCAAAGAAUUAGUGAUUGACCCAGGAUUCAAAUCUGAGCAAUCUGCCUCCAGGACCUAGACUCCCGCUGUAGGUAGCUUUCCAGCACUCU
rnacentral:lncRNA from 10 species